AGGCCUAACGUGAGUUUAUUGCAGACGCCAAUUUACUGUUGGAAAUAGUAGAGGCAAAACGUGCAAGACUUGGAAUGUGUGAAGCCUCUGUGAUGUGCCUAAUAAUAAUCUUGUCCACUUUGAGCAGGAAAAAAAUCAAGGUGUACUGAAGAAAAUGAGCCUUGCCCCAAAGGAGAUAGAAGUUGGGGAAGAUGAGAUGUGAGAAGAUAAGGACAAUGGCAGUAGAGACGAGAAGAACGGCAGGAAGAAUGCUACUGCCCCAGGAAAGAAAGUAGGGGAGGAGAAGUCUCUGGCUCCUGUGUUUGCUGAGAAGUUAAUAUCACCAAGCAGGAGGGGAGCCAAGCUCAAGGACCAUGAGAGCUACCAGGAGAAUGAAGACAGGAACACAGCUGAACCACUUGUAGCUUUCAAACUGUUUGUUGGAAACCUGAAUUUCAACAAAACUGUUGCUGAACUACAAGCUGGUCUCAGUGAAUUUUUUGCUAAAAAUGAUCUUGAGGUUGUUGGUGUCAGGGUUGCCUUGUCCAGGUAAAUACCAAUAAAUUAAGAAGGUUUUUAAGAGCUUAUCAGCCCAGCACUUGAUGUUCGUGGAGAAUUGAGGAGUUCCAAUAGCUUUAUGCUACUUCAUCGUGGCUCAUAGGCUGCUGUCUUCUCAGGUCCUUUUGUUGCCUGCUCUUCACCCUUUGGUGGGAUUUUACCUCAGUCAUUUGCAGUUCAAAAUGAAUGUUUAAAAUCCUUCAAUGGCUCAUGCUUGGUAAAUCUGUUAUAUUUAACUUUGCUACCUAUUUUCUCAACCAAAAUAUUAAAAUAAUCCCAAGAUCUUCCAAGUCUUAGAGACAGGGUCUCGCUGUUUU